UAAAUGAAUACAUAAAUAAAUGAAUACAUAAAUAAAUGAAUAGUUUUGGUAUCGGAUGUGGAAGGGAAGGUGUCCCUGGAGUCUAUACAAGAGUUCCGUCCUUUAAGGCUUGGAUGGAGGAUACCAUUCUCAGUAGUGGACAGUUUUAAACCAAUCUGUUUUAUAAUUUGAUCAAUCAACCAGUUCAUUAAUCAACCAGCUGAUUAAUCAACCAGUUGAUCAAUCAGCUAUUUGAUCAGUCUUCUAGUUGAUCAAUUAACCAGGUGAUCAUUCAACCAGCUGAUCAAUCAACUAGCUGAUCAUUCAACCAGCUGAUCAUUCAACCACCUCAUUAAUCAACCACUUGAUUUAUCAACUAUUUGAUCAAUCUUCUAGUUGAUCAAUAAAUCAGGUGACCAAUCAACCAGUUGACCAAUCAACCAGCUGAUCAAUAAACUAGUUGAUCAAUCAACUAGUUAAUCAAUCAACCAGUUGAUGAAUCAACCAGUUGAUCAAUCAACCAGUUGAUCAAUAAACCAGUUGAUCAAUCAACCAGUUGACCAAUAAAUCAGUUGAUCAAUAAAUCAGUUGAUCAAUCAAUCAGUUGAUCAAUCAACCAGUUGAUCAAUCAACCAGUUGAUCAAUCAACCAGUUGAUCAAUCAACAAGUUGAUCAAUCAACCAGUUGAUCAAUCAACCAUUUGACCAAUCAACCAUUUGAUCAAUCAACCUGUUGAUCAAUCAACCAGUUGAUCAAUCAACCAGUUGAUCAAUCAACCAGUUGAUCAAUCAAUCAGUUCAUCAAUAAACCAGUUGAUCAAUCAACCAGUUGAUCAAUCAACCAGUUGAUCAAUUAACCAGUUUAUCAAUCAACCAGUUUAUCACUCAACCAGAUGAUCAAUCAACCAGUUGAUCAAUCAACCAGUUGAUCAAUGAAUCAGUUGAUCGAUCAUUCUAGUAGCUCUAAGAAAGGGAAAGUUCUGGUUGUUCAAUGAACAAUUAGUUAAUUUCAAACAAUAAUCUAAUUUAGUUACGUUUUAUAUAAAACAAAGUCACAUGGGCAUAUUAAGAGUAAAGUAUCUAAUAGGGCAUGCAAUUUUUAUUAUUAUUAUUUUUAUUAUUAUCAUUAUUAUUAUUAUCAUUAAAGUCCAUAUUUCUACUUAACAUAUUAUAUUCUCUGUAUACUGUAAGUUUUUAAAAAUAAAUCAUAUAAAACAUU